ACACUCAGACUCUAAAAUCCCCGCCUUCUCCCCAGGUUUAUGUCCAGCAACAGUGGAAAAUCACGGGCAGCUUUGACCUCUGCACAGACUCUGCCAGAAGUCAUGGAACUGAACUGGGGUCCUAGUGGAAUCAGAAUUUGAAUCUGUUUUGCUGGCCUCCAUGUUUACAUCUGUACCACAUGCCUCCACGUCCUGAACUACAGAGGUAGCAGAAGGAAUCAGAAAGAGGGCACAGAAGUGAGGAUGCUCCUGAAGAACAGACUGGGCUGCACUGAGGUACUGGUCUUCCAAAGCCCAGGUGCGAAGCCCUUUGUUAGAUGAAUUCGUGACAUACUAUGGAGUAUGGAAAGAACAACAUCCUUGACGAGGAGGGAGUGUGGAAAUGUCAGUUGCCCCAAACAUCUAAAGAUUUCCUCUAUUACACUGCCAUGGAAAAACCCAGCUUCCCAUGACCCUCCCCCAGGAGCCUAAUACAAUUUCUGUAUCACUGGAGAGAGUGAACCCUUUGCCUUGGAAAGGACCGAGAAAAAGUGGGAGGGGAUUCAAUAAAUAAGAGAUAAGAAUCAGGGCAAGAGUUGUUCUUGAGGAGGCUUUCACGGUUUCAUGGAGACAGAUGGCAGCUAUCUAUAAAAUAUGCUUGCAAGUCCUACUUCCUUCUUCAUUUUGGUUUGUUGUGACAACUAGAUUUAAGUUUUAGGCAAAUAAAUACAUAGGAGCAUAUUUUCACUCCAAGUAUUGGAAUAACUAAAGCAACAGGAUGCCUCACAAAUUUCUCCAUUUACUUGGGCAAGAAAACUUUCUGCGAAGCAAGUUUUAGUGUUUUUCUGGGUUUUGUUGGGAAGGCAGGGGGAGACUGUUAAGAUCCAUUUCUUCAGUAGUAAGCACUCCUGGUAUAAUGUAAUUAAUCAGAGUUAGCCUGGAGCAGUCUCCCACUCAGGGGAAUUACCUUCUUCCAUUUGGUAUCCCACACCUGCCUUUUGCAUGGUGCACCUGGAGCCCACUCACCUAAUGCUUGUUCUUGGCUGAUCAAACCUCCAGCCCAUUGGGCUGUGAUGCUCACAUCAGGCCUGUCUCCCACCACAGUCUAUCGACCCCAAGAACCAGUCCCCUCAUGACAUCCCUGUCCUGAGUUCCGUUCCCUCAGUGUCCUCUAAGCUGAGGGAUGGGACUCCCAUUGGAAAUUCUAAUCCCUUUUGAAAAACAUAUUUUAUUUUCACAAAGGCCCCCAAUGCAAAAUCUGGGGUACAUGCUAGAGACCAUGUUUCAGGGGUGCCGGGUCUUUCAGGAUUCUAGUCAUGCCACCUCUGUAGAGACAAAUGAUUGCUGGUAAACGGUGGAGAGAACUGCACCCAAAUGAUCUCCUCAGAGCGAUCACCUCACUUUACCAGAUAUCAAGAGAGCAUCUUGCCAUAUGAUUCAGACAAGAAUCUCCAGGAAAAAUAAAUACUGUACAACAUGAAUUACUGAAAUGCAGUGAAGCAAGAACUGAGUUGCAAAGGCCUGAAAAGAAAUGAGGCUCAAGAUUAAGAGCGGGGGGGAGAAAGGACAAGUGAUAAAGGAGACUACAUGGAAAUGCGUGCAGAAAUAGGCUUCCUGGAAGUAAACUCUGGACAAUGAAUGUCAGGUGAAAUUAAGAGCAAGAAGGACAUAAUAUGAGAUGCUUCCGAAUGGCUGCUCUAAGGUGUGAUGAGCAUAAUUUGACUUGAUUAGACUCUCUAGAGUCUCUGAUUUACAUGAUGCAAAGAUAGAUGCUCAUGUCGAUCUAUUUAAUGUUUACCUCUGAAAAGUCUUAUGCUUUCUUGUCUUAUUUUAAAUUCAGACUUGGUGGGUUCUUUCAUUUUUGUCAUGUCAGUUUGUUUCUUUAUGGUGCUGUGAGGUGUUAAAAACAGACACGAUGACCAUCUCCCAAGAAAUAAAAUCAAUCACCUUUAGGAUUGAAAGGUGAAGGGCAUUGGCUGAAUUAGUAAUUCUCCUGUUGAGCUUGAAGAAGUUUUAAAAAGAUUUGUUUUCUCUCUCUUGUGCCUUUUUCAUGAUUCUUCAUUUAAUUGAUUUGUGCAGACAUUAAAAUUUCCUAUUUCUAUACUCCUAAUGAUUGAGAUGACAAUGUUUCCCCGGUUUACAAAAUUUUAGUGGAUUGGAGGGGUACAUAAUGUAUGGGAAAAAUUAAUUUUGCAAAAGCCUUAUGUAAAGUUGAACAUCUCUGAUGGUCCAUUUCUUACAUGUGCUAAUUGGGCUUAUAUAUCAUGGUGGCCUUGGGGACUGCCAGUCUGAGACCAAUUGCCACUUAGUAGUUGUGUGACCUUAAGUUACUUGAUAUUUUGGGCAUCAGUACUUUAUCUGUAACAUGGAGAU